rnacentral:sRNA from 1 species
CCUCGUCGAUCUGCUGCGGGCUUAUGAAGUGGAUAUGCGUGUCGACGCCGCCCGCGGUCACGAUCAUGCCUUCGCCCGCGAUCACCUCCGUCGCCGCGCCGAUCGCGAUCGUCACGUUCGGUUGGAUAUCGGGAUUGCCUGCCUUGCCGAUUGUAAAGAUGCGUCCGCCCUUGAUGCGAUAUCGGCCUUCACGAUGCCCCAGUGAUCGAGGAUCAGCGCGUUGGUCACGACCGUAUCGACGACGUCGGCGGCGGGGCGCUGCGACUGGCCCAUGCCGUCGCGGA